rnacentral:rRNA from 1 species
GGGCCCGCACAAGCGGUGGAGCAUGUGGUUUAAUUCGAUGCAACGCGAAGAACCUUACCAGGGUUUGACAUACUGUGAAUGAAUCAGAGAUGAAUCAGUGCCUUCGGGAACGCAGAUACAGGUGGUGCAUGGCUGUCGUCAGCUCGUUUCGUGAGAUGUUGGGUUAAGUCCCGCAACGAGCGCAACCCUCGUCUUUAGUUACGUUGAAACUCUAGAGAGACUGCUGGUGAUAAACCGGAGGAAGGUGAGGAUGACGUCAAGUCAGCAUGCCCCUUACGCCCUGGGCGACACACGUGCUACAAUGGCCGGGACAAAGAGUUGCGAGCUCGCGAGAGUCAGCUAACCUCAAAAACCCGGUCUCAGUUCAGAUUGCAGGCUGCAACUCGCCUGCAUGAAGGUGGAAUCGCUAGUAA